ACCUAGGUACAGUGUUAGAUCUACGUCCUCCAUAGCUUCACAUACUUAGAAAACAAAUGAUACUGUAUACUGGUAUAUUCAUAUACUUGGGCUUGUGUAUAGGAUUGCAAUAUAGCACAGUGAUACAAAAAAAUGGAGGGGGGAGGACGGUGGUUUGUCCCUGCUGACCCCUAGCGAUUUGGCUUCGCCCCCCCUCUCUGACAGAUAGGAAAGAACCUCAACUGAAGACUCCUGAAUUCUGAAAUGGCCCCGGCCAAACUCCGUCUCCA